UCGCGCUAAUGUGCUAACGUGCUAACUGCCCGGUGCUGCGUGAAUCAGAGGCCGGAGUGGAGUGCGUGAGCCGCGGCCGGACGGUCACCACGCCCCGGGCGGCUAAAUGGAUCGACGGAGGAUAAAAUCAUUAAAAGAUGCGGAGAAACACAUCACCAGCUCCACUGACAAGACCCAUUCACUGGAAACCGAUUAUAUAGAAGGUUACUAAGUUUUGCGGCAUUGAUGCCGCUCGUGGACGGGACCCUCGGCCGGCUAGUGAAUGAUGACUAUCUGCACCCAAACUGCACUGUCAAUAAGAUUGUUGUUCAGAGAAAAACCUCACUUGUGCCUUUUUGCAAUCAGGGACAUUUUCCCUGGAGAGGAAAUAACUUUUGACUAUGGCGCAUGUGAUUGGCCUUGGAGAAAGCUUUCAUUGAAGGAUAACUAUAUGACUGCAGAAGAGAACUGCUCCUACAACUCUCUGAUGAGCUGUUAUUGAAGGAUGACCAAAUGACAGAACUGCUCUGCUCCAGUAGGAGUCCAACAACUCUCUGAUGAGCUUUUAUUGAAGAAUGACCAAAUGACAGAAAGAGAGAACUGCUCUGCUCCAGUAGGAGUCCAACAACUCUCUGAUGAGAGAAAGUUACAGUGGAUCGUGUUUUUGGAGGAGGUGAACUCCAAUCUAAAAGAGUCCCCUCAAGUAUCAUCACCAUGGUACAGUGUCUGUGAAGAUAGUGAAGCAGACCCAGCAUUCACAAAAAAAGAGAGGUCCCAUAAGGAGAAGACCCUGGAGCAAACAGGAAGUACAUGCUGUGGUG